AGGCCAGUAGCUCAGUUGGUAGAGCAGCGGAUUCCAAAUCCGCAGGUCGCAGGUUCGACCCCUGUCUGGCCUG
rnacentral:tRNA from 2 species